rnacentral:misc_RNA from 1 species
GAUGAAGAACGCAGCGAAAUGCGAUAAGUAAUGUGAAUUGCAGAAUUCAGUGAAUCAUCGAAUCUUUGAACGCACAUUGCGCCCGCCAGCAUUCUGGCGGGCAUGCCUGUUCGAGCGUCAUUUCAACCCUCGACCUCCCCUUGGGGAAGUCGGCGUUGGGGACCGGCAGUAUACCGCCGGCCCCGAAAUGGAGUGGCGGCCCGUCCGCGGCGACCUCUGCGUAGUAAUCCAACCUCGCACCGGAACCCCGACGUGGCCACGCCGUAAAACCCCCAACUUUCUGAACGUUGACCUCGGAUCAGGUAGGAAUACCCGCUGAACUUAAGCAUAUCAAUAAGCGGAGGA